rnacentral:rRNA from 1 species
AGAGUUUGAUCCUGGCUCAGGACGAACGCUGGCGGCGUGCCUAAUACAUGCAAGUCGAGCGGGGUCUUGGCGAAUCUUCGGAUUCGCUUUGGCCUAGCGGCGGACGGGUGAGUAACACGUGGGCAACCUGCCUGUAAGAUCGGGAUAACUAUCGGAAACGAUAGCUAAGACCGAAUAAUUGAUAUUCUCGCAUGGGAAGA